rnacentral:sRNA from 1 species
AUGCGAUGAGUCGAUUGUGACUGCAAAGUCACUUUUGCGCAGGGGAGGUCAUUAAGGCGGGAAGCCGACUUUGAUAAUCUGUGUGAACCAUUUUAUCACAAUCUUAUUUAUUAAGAAUGCCCCUUGGAUUGAGAUAUUCUCAAUCCUUUUUUUA